UUGAACGCUGGCGGAAUGCUUUACACAUGCAAGUCGGGCGGCAGCGCGGGGGCAACCCUGGCGGCGAGCGGCGAACGGGUGAGUAACAUAUCGGAACGUACCCAGACGUGGGGGACAACUAGUCGAAAGACUAGCUAAUACCGCAUACGUCCUGAGGGAGAAAGCGGGGGAUCGCAAGACCUCGCGCGUUUGGAGCGGCCGAUAUCUGAUUAGCUAGAUGGUGGGGUAAAGGCCCACCAUGGCGACGAUCAGUAGCUGGUCUGAGAGGAUGAUCAGCCACACUGGAACUGAGACACGGUCCAGACUCCUACGGGAGGCAGCAGUGGGGAAUUUUGGACAAUGGGGGAAACCCUGAUCCAGCCAUUCCGCGUGAGUGAAGAAGGCCUUCGGGUUGUAAAGCUCUUUCAGCAGGAACGAAACGGUCGGCUUUAAUAAAGUCGGCUAAUGACGGUACCUGCAGAAGAAGCACCGGCUAACUACGU
rnacentral:rRNA from 1 species